rnacentral:lncRNA from 1 species
CAUUGAAAACAAAAGAAAGAUUAUACCUAAAACGUUCCAGCAACUCGAACUCGAAUGGCAAUCACAUCCAAGGGCUCUCCUCCUUCUUCCUUGCUGUGAUCACAAGAGAUGGGUGAUGGUUUUGGGGGUGAUGGAUGGUAAGAAUGGCGUGGGAUGGCUGAUGAGGGUGAAAGGUGCGGCUGAAUGUGUGUGGGAGUGAAUGGCUUGAAUGAAUGAUGUAGAACGGUGUCUAAGGUUGCGGCAAAGGUGUUUUUGAAUGGUAUGAGGGGUGGUCAUGAAUUUGUGGCUGAAAACUUAUAUUUAUAGGCUAGGGUUUUCAUAAAAUCUAAUGGGAAAAGGUUAGGGUUUUGUAGAUAAAAGGCUUGGCCCAUCCAAGGGUGAAAAGACCUAGGGUUUUAUGCAGAUUUUUAGGCUUUUAGAACAUUAGGUGCGACACAAACCCUAGGGGGGAUAGAUUAGGGUUUAACUUGGCAGAAAUUAAAGAAUUAGGCCCUAAGGUUCGGCACAAUUAAUUUAAUCCACUAAGGAAAGGGUUUGGCCCAAUUAAUUUCAUAAAAGAUUUGUAUAACCCAAAUCCACAAGGACUAAGGCCUAAUAAAUCAGAAUCCACAAGGGAAAAAGAUUAGUGAAGUCACGGCAAGGGACUUUAGGGAAGGAUUAGGAACUCCCAAGUCAAGAAUAGAAACUUUCAAGAAUGGAAACCUCCAAGAAUAGAAACUUCCAACUUUAGAAACUUUGGUUUCCAAUUCUGAACUCCUUGUUCUUCAUUUUCAUUUCUUCAUUUCAUUAUUCAUUCCUAGCCUCCUUUGAUCUUCAAUUUUGUCCAUUCCUUUAGCUCCAAGCAUGUGUCAUCCAUUCAAAGCCCAAUUUUGCUCCAAAAAGGCUCCAAAUGCAUUUAUUUGCCACAUUAGCCAUAUAAACCUGAAAUUGCACGAAAAUGACUUUAAACACUAAAAUAACUAAAGAAAAACAACAUAAAUGCACAAGAACAAGCUAACUAAGUCGCAUGAAUAUACUCCUAUCAAUUACAAAACAAAGUAAAUUAGGUACGAAAUUGGGUAAUUUGAAUGGGCAAAAGGCUAGCUAGAAGGUCCUUCUCCACACAUGACACAUAUGCAUAAAAAUCGAUCUCCAAUUAUUCUUCCGAUAAACCAUGAAUGACAAUACCCCAAAUUAAUCGUGAGAAGCAAUUAACUUUCAUAUUUUCCUAAAUUCAUUGAAUUGGACACAGCGAUACAACCAAAUUAUUCUUAUCAAGUUCCCUACAUGAACUGCAUAAUAGAGAUACAUAUCAAAGAUCAUUAAGUUCUAUGAAAAUCAUAAGCAUUGAUAAGGCAUUCGUAACUAUGAACUGCAUGAUACUUCUGCUAAGAAUUCACUUAACACAAUCAUGACUAGUGACUUUUACUACUUAUGAAUAUAAGUUCAUAACGAUUAGGUGAAAUUCCCUUAUAUUCUAGCAUCAAAUUCCUGCAUACAAACUAAGUAUGCAUCCUUAAUUAACACACAAGAAUAAGUUAUCAAUCAAACAGUUAAGCAAAUUGCAUUCACGAUUUAUGAAAUCAUAACUGGAAGUAAUCAAUUCAUAUCACAUAUAUGUUUAUGGCUUUGAAUUCACCUCUAACUAAAACGAAUUUAGUUCCUCAUAUUCAUCAUAAUUGAAAACCAAAUUUAACCAAACAUUGGACUAAAACUAAGGAUAGAAUGCUGGAAGCAUAAAAGCACACCACAAAGUAGCACACAAAUAUCCUAUUAAUUUUCCUUAUUAACACUAAGAUUUGUCAAUUGUAGCAUAUGAAAAUAAGGGUCUUUCCCGCAGAAGACUGUUUUAUCUAACGACUUAAAAUCUCACAAAAAUUGGUUGUUGUCCUUACUGACCAAACACUAGACACACAGCACGACACUCACACAAGGAGUUGAUUUUCUAUUUAAAUUCAAUCGUACAAAAAUAGUAAAGAAACAAAAUUUGAGUAGUUCACAAGUUUAAGAAAAACGAGUUAGGGGAAUUGCUAUCCACCACCAAAUAAUCAUGCAAACAUGUUAUGUUUCAUUCAAAUUCCUUUUAUUUCCGGAUGAAGAUGCUCAAGUUGGCUCAAUGUUAGAAUACAACCUAUUACUCUUUCUUACGUAGAAUGUUAAGAGAAUGGCGUUUUCAACUUAACUUAGUUCCUAGGAUGCAAUCUAGAAUGGCAUGUUCAUAGAUUUAACAAGUAGAAAUCAUUAAGAACGAAAAAAGUUUGAGUCAUCACAAGGCAUGGUAAGUACUAGCGUUGUCUUAAUUAUCCUAGAAAUUGGUUCACUUGUUAAUCGCAAUUAACAAGUACUACUCUAGAAUAUAUGUAGGUCUUCAUUCAACAAGGGCAUGCAUACACAUAUUCAUAGCAUUUGAAUCCUAGAUAUGCUUACUAAGUAUGCAUCCAUAGAAAACAUAUAAAGAAUUCAUCACUGACAUAAGUAGUAAAUCAAUUUUCAUCCAUUCAUAAAAGCAAUUCAACGAAAUGUCAUAACAAACUUGCAAGCAUAUUCGGGGCUUCAAAACAACCCCUAACUACUUAAAAUUUAGUUACACAUAAUUCUCAAAUUAAACCAAAAGUAAAACAUGGGGUUGAGAAGAUAAAACCAAGAUAAAUCGAGCAAGGCCUCUUCUUCUUUCAUUCCUUGCUUUCUGCCAUGCCUUUUCUCUGAUUCUUCCUUGAUUUCCUUUUUUUUUUUUUUUUGCUGUGUGUUCUUGUUCUCUUUUUAUAAGAUGUGCAUUUCCACUUGCUUUGCUGUCUUGCUUUGCUUUCUUUGUUGUCUUCUUUUGCUUUCUUUGUUGUCUUCUUUUUCUCUUCUUAGCUGUCUCCUUUUGUAUUAGUUGUGCAUGUGCUUUUCUUCCCUUUGCCAUGCCUUUUCCUUCUCUUUCUAGCUGUGCAUUUCCACUUGCUCCAAAGGCAAAUGAGUGCAAUCAUAACCCCAUUUGCUGCUGAGUGUUGAUGACAAAGUAAAACACAAAACAAGUGCCUUUACUUUCUCAUUUUAUUAGCCAAAUCUGCUUAGCCUUUUCUGAACCUUUUAGUGUUAUAAUGCCCAUAACUUCUUCUAGAAAAAUGAUAUUAACAAUCCGUUAAUUGCUCCAGAAAAUAGACAUCCGUAGCUUUCCAAGCAUAUAGGGCUCAUUCUCUAAUUCAUUUUGAGCUGUUCGCAACAUGCUUCCAAAGUCAGCUAAUCGGCACAGGUAGUUUUGACGAAUUUGUUACUUAAUAUCCCACUUGUGCUACUUUUCUUUUCUUUGCUUGACAAAUCACACAAAACACAAAAUAAAAAAAGUAAAUAGCUCAAAAAUAUAAGGAACUAAGAAAAGACAAGUGAAUUUGAUGUAAAAUAUAUAUAAAUAUGAGCUUAUCAAAUACACCUAGAAACGCUCCAGCACCCAAUGGCAGAUUUGGCACAAUCCUUGGCUGCUAGGCACGGCACAAGUCCUCCUUCCUCCCUUGCAAAGCUCAGCACAAGUCUCUGAAAGAACUCAGAAAACUGCGGCACUCAUGUAUAUUUUCUUCUCUUAUUUCUCUUAUGUGUGUGGUGCACGAAAUUCUGGUCAGAAUUAUGUAUUUAUAGGCUACGGUUUCGGCACAAAGGUUGUGGAGGAGAAGGAUUACACAAUCCUAGAGGAAUAGGACUAGGAAAUUCGGCACAAAGCUUCUAAAAAGGGAUAUCUGGCAGAUUUCUAGAAGAGAAGGGAUUAUAUUCGUCAGAUUUCUAGGGGAAAAAUGGAUUAGGUUAUUUGCAUUGUUUCAGGGCUUCUAGAAUCAGAUAUUGGGUAUUCUAAUGUGAUAAGGAGUCCCCCUUGCAGCUAGAAUUAAGGUAGGAAAGGAUUAGGUUAUGAUAAGAUAAGAUAAGUUUAGUUUGGAUAAGAUAAGAUUGGAUAAUGUUUUAGAUAAUGUUCGUUCCUUUUAGUUGAUUUCUUAUCUUCUUUGUCUGGACUUUAUUUUCUUCAUAUCUUCAGCAUAUUACUAGCCUCUUGAACAUCAAAAACGUCCAUCCACCUUGCUCCACUCAUGUGUUAUCCAUUCUUGGCCCAAAACUGCUCCAAAAUGCUCCAAAUUGCACUUUUUUGCCAACUUUGUCAUUUGGACCUACAAACACACGAAAAUAGCUUAAAACACUCUAAUAAACAGAAAUUAGCUAUGUAAAUGCAAGAAAACAAGCUAACUAAGUUGUAUAAAUAUGCUCCUUCAAUAUGCUUAAACAAUAAGUCCAAGGAAUAUGUAAUUGGGAGAAUGUGAUCUAAAGAAAAUAGAUUCAUGAGACUAUUCUCUUUCGUAUACAUAUCCUAAACGUUCAUGAUCAUAGGAUUGUCAAUUGGGCAUUGACAGUCCAUUAAGAUCAGUACGUACUAUGUCUUCUCUUAGAGAGAGUGACUGGUUUUGCUUUAUUGGUGUAACUGACACCAAGACAAGCAUGUAGGUGCUCAAUAGAGAAUGAGUCCAUUGAACGUGAUCAACGAAGAGUUUUCAUACACAUGUCACAUGAGAACUCAUGGUUGGGUGAUAGGAGCAUAUUUAUGCGACUUAGUUAGCUUGCUUCUUGGCAUUUAUGUUGUUUUCCUUAGUUAUUUUAGUGUUUAAAGUCAUUUUCGUGCAAUUUCAGGUUCUAAGGACAAAGUAUGCAAAAAGAUGCAUUUUGGAGCCUUUUGGAGCAGUUUUGGGCAUGAAUUGAAUAUCUUAUGCUUGGAGUAAUAUUGAUUGACGAAAUUGAAGGCCUAAAAGAUGUUAGAAGUCAGUUUGGAAGCUUAGAAGACACAAUUUCAGCACCUCCUACAAAGGUGGCGCCUUGUCCCCUUUGUGCUUCAUCCUUGUCUCCUCUUGUGCAACAAUUUCCCUUGCCAUGUUUCCCUAAUUUCUAAACCAAAAACACCUUUCCCUUUCUCCCUUGUCCUUUGCAGCACCAUACAUCCUCUUUCCCUUUUAAUUUCUGACCUUAAGUACCUUUCCUAUAUUGUGCCACAUCUUUGUUGCCUAUUCUCUUUAAUUUCUGAUUCUUUCUUACCUAUUUCUGACCCAAAAUUACAUUCCCUUUUGUUUCAAUUCUUGCUGCACAAAGGGAGAGGAUUCUUACCUAUUUUGUGCCUCAAAACACAUUCCUAAAUCUGUCCUACAAUUUCUGCAGAAUUUCCCUUUCCUAUUCUCUUUAAUUCCUACACCUUUCUUGCCUAUUUUCCAUUGAUUUCUGAUUCCAAAUCUAAUAAAUUCGUAGCCCUUCCUUUCCCUAUAAAUAAGACCCCUUUCUGACCAUUCUAAGCAUUCCACCCUUCACCAUAACCAACCUAUAUCCCUCCACCACCACAAAUCACGCAGAAACCAUCCAACCUCCCUUUGCCGUGCCCAUCCUUCACCAAUCUCCAUAACUUCUGACCCUAAACACAAUCCAUACACUCACCCACUUAUGUGCCGCAACAAGAAGGAAGAAGGAAGGACCCUUGGAUGUCCAAGCUUCAUUGUUGGUGCAUUCUAGGUGUAAUUUGUUUUAUGAUUUCAAUGUGUAAUUUCUUUUCUUUUCGUUUUGCUAUGAACAUGAGUGGCUAAACCCCUAUUGGUUAGGGGUGAUUUCAAAGCCAUGACUAUGUGUGCAAUUUGAUUUGAUAAAUUCCAGUUAUGAAUUCUUGAAUCGUGAAUGCAAUUGGUUUAACUAUUUGAUUAAUAACUUAUUUGUGUUUGUUAAUUAGGGGUCGACACUUGAUUGGCAUGCAUAAAUCUGAUGCUAGAGUAUAAGGAUGUUUCACAUCAUCAUUACAAAAUUAUAUUCAUAUGUAGUGAAGGUUGCUAGUCACAAUCGCGUUAAGUUCGAUUCCUAGCAUGAGUGACAUGAUGUCAUAGUUGCAAGUGCUUUGUCAUUGCUUAUGGUUUUCAUUGAACGUAAUGAUCUUUGAUCGUAUCUCUAUUAUGAUGUCAUGUAGGGGACCUUUAAAGAAUGCUUUGGGUUGUCGAAUGAUGCCAUCCAAUCCAACAAUACAAGGAAAAUCUGCGAGUUAGCUAGUGAUGUCACGGUUAAUUUGGGGCAAUGUCGUUCAUAAUUCUAUGAAGGAAUAACUGGAAAUCGAGUCGUUUGCAUACGUGUCAUGUGUGGAGAAAGAGCCUUUAACUAAUCCAUCAUCCAUUUAAACUCCCAAUUCGUUUUACAAUCUGUUUUAAUUACAACGUUUUGUCUUGUUUUCAAUUUCGUCAAAACCAAAUCCCCCUUUAUUUUAAAGUGUUAGAUUAGUUAGAAAUCCAUUUAGUUUGUGUUUUUAAGUGUUUUGAUUCAAGUUGUAACCCAAUUUUGUCCAAAUUUGUGUUUGUGUUCAAAACUGUCCAGAAAGUGUUUUUUAGGCAGUUUUGAGUGUUUGGUUGCUGUUUUGAGUCUUUUGGUUUGUUUUAGUGUUUUAAAUUUUAGUUUUGCAUUCUUUGAGUCUAGUUUAGUGUUUUAAACUUUGUUUUUACGUUUUUAAGUCAGUUUUCAAGUGUUUAGCAAUCCUUCCUAAUCCCCGGUUUAGAACGAUCCCUACUUACAUACUUUGCUACAAUUGAUAAAAAGAGGGUUUAAUUUGUGUGCUUUUAUAUUUCGCAUCAUUGGGAUAAUGCAAAGUAGUCAUUUGACUUGAGGUAUCAUAGUUGUCUUGUAGUUAGAUCCUUGAUCUUUGACUAUAUCAAUGUCACUCUAUCAAAGGGUGUCCACAACAUAGUUGGGGUUAAGCCACUGAUACGAAAAUUAUCUUAACACACAGAUUAAACCCUCUUGUUGUCAAUUGUAGUAAAGAAUGCAAGUAGGGAUCGUUCUAGGCCAGGGAUUAUGAGGGAUUGCUAAAACACUUGAAACUGACUU